rnacentral:rRNA from 1 species
CCUGCCCCUAAGUCUGGGAUACCAUUUGGAAACAGGUGCUAAUACCGGAUAAUAAAGCAGAUCGCAUGAUCAGCUUUUGAAAGGCGGCGUAAGCUGUCGCUAAGGGAUGGCCCCGCGGUGCAUUAGCUAGUUGGUAAGGUAACGGCUUACCAAGGCGACGAUGCAUAGCCGAGUUGAGAGACUGAUCGGCCACAUUGGGACUGAGACACGGCCCAAACUCCUACGGGAGGCAGCAGUAGGGAAUCUUCCACAAUGGACGCAAGUCUGAUGGAGCAACGCCGCGUGAGUGAAGAAGGUUUUCGGAUCGUAAAGCUCUGUUGUUGGUGAAGAAGGAUAGAGGUAGUAACUGGCCUUUAUUUGACGGUAAUCAGCCAGAAAGUCACGGCUAACUACGUGCCAGCAGCCGCGGUAAUACGUAGGUGGCAAGCGUUGUCCGGAUUUAUUGGGCGUAAAGCGAGCGCAGGCGGAAAAAUAAGUCUAACGCGAAAGCCCUCGGCUUAACCGAGGAACUGCAUCGGAAACUGUUUUUCUUGAGUGCAGAAGAGGAGAGUGGACUCCAUGUGUAGCGGUGGAAUGCGUAGAUAUAUGGAAGAACACCAGUGGCGAAGGCGGCUCUCUGGUCUGCAACUGACGCUGAGGC